CCCGUCCCUGUUCAAACCUCACAAACCCACCGUGAACCUUCACGGCAGAAGGGAGGAGACUCCCGGACGCCGCAUACCAAAACCCCAGUUUUAAAGAAUGUCGUGCGGACUUGCGCCGCCUAAAACACAAAACAACUUUCAACAACGGAUCUCUUGGCUCUCGCAUCGAUGAAGAACGCAGCGAAAUGCGAUAAGUAAUGUGAAUUGCAAAAUUCAGUGAAUCAUCGAAUCUUUGAACGCACCUUGCGCUCCUUGGUAUUCCGAGGAGCAUGCCUGUUUGAGUGUCUUGAAGUCAUCAACCCCUUCCGUUUCGUGCGGAGAGGGUUGGAAGUGGGGGCUCUGCUGCCGUGAGGCGGCUCCCCUCAAAUGCAUCGGUUGGGCCUGUGGGUCGAACUCGACUGGGCGUUGUACCAUCCUCGCUUUACAGAGUCCGUUCCCCUUUCCGUGCCCUCCCCCGACCUGCCUGCUAGAGUGGCGGUCAAGCAACAAACUUUGAAAUCUGACCUCAAAUCAGGUAGGACUACCCGCUGAACUUAAGCAUAUCAAUGAGCGGAGGAAAAGAAACUAACAAGGAUUCCCCUAGUAACUGCGAGUGAAGCGGGAAAAGCUCAAAUUUGAAAUCUGGCGGCUCCGUCGCCCGAGUUGUAUUCUGGAGAAGCGUCUUCCGCGC
rnacentral:rRNA from 1 species